GCUUGGAACAGGUCCUUCAAAUCCAUCAACGUUCGGCCGCUUUCAUGUUGUGAUUAGUGUUCGAGAAGAAAGUCGGAAUGGUUCAGAAAAUAUUAAAUAAAUUUGUUGGUGCCAAAUAUGUCUCAAUUCUGAGGACAUGGGUACCAAAUAUGAUUGCCUGGGGAACAGUUGGUGGCGUGGCGGUCAUUCACUUCACCGACUGGCGGUUAAUUCUGGACUAUGUGCCAUACAUUAAUGGGAAGUUUAAGAAGGAUGAAUAGAGAGCGGUGUAGGAAGAAAAAUAUGUAGGAAACCUUCUUACCAACUGCACAGCAACAGAUGGGGGCGGGACAGUCCUGCACUCUUUCAUGUGUGCAGCAAGAGAAGACUCCAGCACUUUUUUUUCAGGACCAGGACUCUGGGUACAUGGCUGGACUUCUCUAGCAGCAAGUUCAAGUAGGAUGGCUGGUCCCUGCAGGCUCCAUGAUGCACUCUGUAAAAAUGCUUCUUUUUGAUCCAUUGUUGUGUAAGAUGUGAAUGCAUUCUUAAUUUAACCUAAUAUUUCCAAUACAUCUUGUAACUUUCAACUAUUAAAAUGAUUUUGC